AUUGAUAAGAAAAAUAAAAUUUCGAAACUUUGAAAACUUUUGAAGUAAAACUUACAUAGCAAUAUUUGCAGUGGAUCAAAUUUUUCAAGAUUUUUGUUAAUUCUCUGCGCUUCAAGUUCAUACAACGCAAUAUUGCACCAUAUCCGCUAACUUGAUAAAUUUCGUUGCACCAGUCGACUGUCGAUUCCGAAAUGUCUUCACAUCUAUCGCACAAAUUACCGUGGCAUCUUUUGGUGGAUUACGUGACACCCUACAAAGAUCCAGGAAUCAAUCUUCCUGCAGGCACCUGUGACAGAAUCCACAUAACCAGUAAGAAAGUCGAAAUACAAGUUAAAAAUCGUAAGUACAUCCAGGAAAGUGAUAUAUGCACCGACCCAACCUGCAAUACGGUACCCGAAGAGAAGAGAAUUUAUAAAACAAUGAAGAGAGGAAAAAUAUUCGAGCGAAUUAAAGGAGGAGGAAGAUAUGACGAGCAGAAGUGCCAAAUGUUCCUCACUAAAUUUGAACAAGCAGUUAUAGAAUUUGCCCAAACUGAAUUGAACACUCCAGCCAAGGAUCUUCAGUACGAAGACGAUGUUGAAGAUGCGGGCCUUACGAGUUGCAGAAGGUGCAACCGAUUUAUUACUUUAUUAGAAUUCGGCGAUAAAAAACAAUUGUUCGAGUACAGUGAUGAAGAAAUUUGGAGCGCUUUCUCUUGCUGUCACGGCGGCCAAGCUGUAGGAAGAAAUUUACCAUUUCUUUUGCAUAAAAUGAUUUCGUUUUAUUUAGUAAUGAACAUCAUUCUGCAUGCCGAUUUGAAAAAAGAAAAUUGGCCUCGUGGCAUGAAACCAGACUCGUAUUUUUGGAGUGAAAUGUUAUAUCCUCAUGAUGGACAAACGUUUUUACCUCAUAGCAGAAAGUAUUUAUCUGAAGCAAUGGUUGAUUUAGAAAAAACUAAAAUUUUGAAUAAGAAUGUAUUUAGGUUUAUUUAUUUUUACGUUAUGAUGAAUUUGAAAAUCAACAAAGAUUAUUCGUUCUCAAAAGAUGCAUAUUUAUCUCCUUGGCACAUUUGGAGUGUUGCGUGAAAUUGGGUCAUCCAAGUGAAUUUAGUUACUUUUUUGCGAAUUAUUGUGAUAUUUUAAAUAAUAUAUACUGUUCGGAUGAAGAUAAAUUGUUAUGAAUAAGGAGGAAAUGUGUGGCAAACUACAAUGAAAUAUGAUACCUGUGAUUUAAAAAAUUUUCACCAGUAUUUUAACACUUAUAUUUUUUGAUAAUUGAAUAUAAUUUUUAUGUACUUGUAUGAGUAUAGGUUUAUUUCAUUUUGUUAAAAUGUACCCUGAAUAAAAAUUUCAAUCCUAA